UGUUCCACAUUUCCUUGCCUUUUUAAACUUAAGACCUUUAGAGUUUUUUGGUUGCUCAGUAGUAAUAUUUCUGCCUAUUUAUUUCAGCCCAUGAAAUCAAGUGCAGAUGUCCCUGAAAUAAGAUUUAAAUCUAAUUCAUUAAUUUGUUUGUCAUUAUCAUUAUUGUUGUUGUUGUUGUUGUUGUUGUUGUUGUGGUGCAGUUUACAAUAGCUUGUGGAGUCUGUUGCAGAUGUUCAUGAUGUACAUUUUACAUGUUGUUCAUAUCUAUGAACAUAUGAUAUAGAUAAAAAACAAAACAAACUUGUGCAUUGUACUCAGGACCACGAUCACAAAGGAUGGAUGGGGCAGGGCCCUUGCACUGGGCCCCGCACCAUGCUUGUGACGUCCCUGAUUGUUCUUGCAUCUGAACAAGGAAUAGUCUGCUUUCUAAAGGUUUUUCUGAUGUACAGUAUUAAGUGACUUGUUUCGAAUAUAUGAAUUUCUCUCUUACAAAUGUCAAAGAUUCCAUCUCAUGUUCCCAUCUCACAUGCUCAUAAAGUAAGUAUUUGCUGCUUUUUAUGUAAUGUCUGUGCCACAUGCUAUUAUGUCACAUACGAAGCAUAGCUAUUAAAAUAAUGACUGUUUUCUUGAGAUCAUUAGAUAAACUUAUAUUGUAACAACAAUUGUCCAGUACUAUUGCUAACAUAUAUCCAUUUACUGUAUUAAUUUUAGCUUUUGGAAUCAAAUGCAGAUUUCCUUGAUCAUAACAGCAAGAUAUUUUCUGAUGGAGAUAUGGUGCCAAAGGCUCCAUCCAAGUCUUCUCUGUCUGGUUCUGCCAAAUGUUGCAGUGAUGCUAAUUAUGUGGAGUUAGCACAUGGCACAGGUAUAACCAUUCUAAAGCAUCAAUGGACUUCUGCCGUGCAGACCCAAACAGCCACUUCAAUGGUACAUGUUCUUUUAAUGGCCUCCUUCCCACUGGAGAUUCUGAUCCACAGCAAUUUGAAAGGAGGAAUGAGUAAAACUGACUGGUGCAGAGAGAAGGAAUGCCCUUGACAAGGACACCAUGGCAGCAAUAUAUGUGGCAGUGAAGAAGUUUCCCAGUGUGUCCAGAGGAGCUUUGGGGUUUGCAGUGUAUUCUAAGAUGGGGGAACUGAGAUGGC